AUCAAAUAAGCGGAGGAAAAGAAACCAACAGGGAUUGCCUCAGUAGCGGCGAGUGAAGCGGCAAGAGCUCAGAUUUGAAAUCGUGCUUUGCGGCACGAGUUGUAGAUUGCAGGUUGGAGUCUGUGUGGAAGGCGGUGUCCAAGUCCCUUGGAACAGGGCGCCCAGGAGGGUGAGAGCCCCGUGGGAUGCCGGCGGAAGCAGUGAGGCCCUUCUGACGAGUCGAGUUGUUUGGGAAUGCAGCUCCAAGCGGGUGGUAAAUUCCAUCUAAGGCUAAAUACUGGCGAGAGACCGAUAGCGAACAAGUACUGUGAAGGAAAGAUGAAAAGCACUUUGAAAAGAGAGUGAAACAGCACGUGAAAUUGUUGAAAGGGAAGGGUAUUGCGCCCGACAUGGGGAUUGCGCACCGCUGCCUCUCGUGGGCGGCGCUCUGGGCUUUCCCUGGGCCAGCAUCGGUUCUUGCUGCAGGAGAAGGGGUUCUGGAACGUGGCUCUUCGGAGUGUUAUAGCCAGGGCCAGAUGCUGCGUGCGGGGACCGAGGACUGCGGCCGUGUAGGUCACGGAUGCUGGCAGAACGGCGCAACACCGCCCGUCUUGAAACAACGG
rnacentral:rRNA from 1 species